rnacentral:rRNA from 1 species
AUUGAACGCUGGCGGCAGGCCUAACACAUGCAAGUCGAGCGAGCGGCGGACGGGUGAGUAAUGUAUGGGGACUGCCCGAUAGAGGGGGAUAACUACUGGAAACGGUGGCUAAUAACGCAUACGGUCGGAUUGCGCAGAUGGGAUUAACUAGUAGGUACGGUAACGGCUCACCUAGGCGACGAUCCCUAGCUGGCCUGAGAGGAUGAUCAGCGAUACUGGAACUGAGACACGGCCCAGACUCCUACGGCGGCAGCAGUGGGGAAUAUUGCACAAUGGGCGCAAGCCGGAUGCAGCCAUGCCGCGUGUGUUAAGAAGGCCCUAGGGUUGUAAAGUACUUUCAGUCGGGAGGCGUUACCGACAGAAGAAGCACCGGCUAACUCCGUGCCAGCAGCCGCGGUAAUUC